rnacentral:rRNA from 1 species
CCUACGGGAGGCAGCAGUGGGGAAUAUUGGGCAAUGGGCGCAAGCCUGACCCAGCAACGCCGCGUGCAGGCAGACGGCUCUCGGGUUGUAAACUUCCUUUUAGAGGGGAGUGAAGAAGACGGUACCUCUUGAAUAAGCCACGGCUAACUACGUGCCAGCAGCCGCGGUAAUACGGAGGUGGCAAGCGUUAUCCGGAUUUACUGGGUGUAAAGGGAGCGUAGUCGGUUAUGUAAGUCUGGAGUGAAAGCCCGGGGCCCAACUCCGGGACUGCUUGGGAAACUGUGUAACUGGAGUACAGGAGGGGCAGGCGGAAUGUCUGGUGUAGCGGUGAAAUGCUUAGAGAUCAGGAAGAACACCGACUGCGAAGGCAGCCUGCUGGACUGAAACUGACGUUGAGGCUCGAAAGCGUGGGGAGCAAACAGGAUUAGAUACCCGUGUAGUC